GACGAACGCUGGCGGCGUGCUUAACACAUGCAAGUCGAACGGAAAGGCCCUGCUUUUGUGGGGUGCUCGAGUUGCGAACUGGUGAGUAACACGUGAGUAACCUGCCCUUGACUUUGGGAUAACUUCAUGAAACUUGGUCUAAUACCGGAUAGGAGCUCCUGCUGCAUGGUGGGGGUUGGAAAGUUUCGGCGGUUGGGGAUGGACUCGCGGCUUAUCAGCUUGUUGGUGGGGUAGUGGCUUACCAAGGCUUUGACGGGUAGCCGGCCUGAGAGGGUGACCGGCCACAUUGGGACUGAGAUACGGCACAGACUACUACGGGAGGCAGCAGUGGGGAAUAUUGCACAAUGGGCGGAAGCCUGAUGCAGCAACGCCGCGUGCGGGAUGACGGCCUUCGGGUUGUAAACCGCUUUCGCCUGUGACGAAGCGUGAGUGACGGUAAUGGGUAAAGAAGCACCGGCUAACUACGUG
rnacentral:rRNA from 1 species